UCUUUUUCUCCUUGUUAGUCCUUUCUUUACCAGUGUCCAAAUUUGCCACACUUCUAGUGCAAGGCAAGUUUCAAAUUUUUUACCACAUGACAAGUUUUGUAGCUGCACUCUGCAUUGUAGAAUUCGAUAUUCCUUCCUGUCCAUUUUCAGAAUUUUCCUCACUUCAUGAAAGCUUUCAAAUGUGGAUGACUUUUCACUUAUACAGUUCCACAACUCUCACUUCUGCCUCAAACCCAACAAACUAAGGGUGAGCUACCAGAGAACUCUUUUCGACUUAAAUUCUUCCAAGUUGUCUUCACCAGAACUUUCUUCAAUUUUUCAUGAAAAACGGUGUUUGCAAACCCUGUUUUUUGCAAUGCCUUUUUACAAUAUUUCCACAACUUACCAAACUGUAAUUUCUUGC